GGAAACUUUUUAAUAUAGUUUUAAAUUUAUUAUUUUAUAUGAACUUACUUUUUUUUACUUAAAGUCUAUUGGUUUGGUGACCAAUAAUGGAAUAGAAAUACAUGGCGAAGUAUAUCGAAAAUAAGUGUUAGUGGCGCUCGUGGGGUAACACCGUCUUAACUACUAGAUUUACUGCCCUUAGACCUAUACUACAAGCAACUGGCUACAAAGCGACACUCAGACUAAGAGAAUCUUCGCUCUGAGUUACAUUCUACAUAUUUAGCAACACUUCACAUUUACAAUCUUCCUCUCUGCUGGCGUAGACACCGCUUACGGGAUUAUAGCCGAGUUAACAACGUUGCACCAUUCUAUUCUUCAGUUCGCUGUUUGGUGCCAAACGAGAAUCGGCCUUGGGUCCUGGGUCAGCCAUUUGUAAAUCUAAAUCAUUUUUGAGCAAACUGAAUACAGAAACAAAACAGAUGGCAAGUCUUUUAAAUUACAUGGGACUAUUCUGAAAUCCGAUCAGAAUGAAAAAAUUAGAACAAAGAGCACAUCCGAUUUGAGGUCGAUUCUGUACUGCGGGCUGCUCGCAACUCUUACCAAUCGUUACUGAGCCGCAUUCGUUGACGCAGGCAACUAGAAAUAUUUCCAAUGGAAGAGCACAAAUGUCGACAUUUAGCUUGAAGGCGAAGUUACAAGUUCCGAUCUCAAGUUAUAAGGCAACUCCAGAAGCCUGAUCUUAUUAUAUAAAAAUUAAGAUGAGUUUUAUUCACAUUGGAUUCUUAAAUACAUAAAUAAUUUGUGGUUUGUACAAACGUGU